UAGGGAGUAUUAGUAAUGGGCGAGAGCCUGAACUAGCAACGCCGCGUGUGCGUAGAAGGCCUUCGGGUUGUAAAGCACUUUUUGAGAGGAUGAGGAAGGACGGUACUCUCAGAAUAAGUCUCGGCUAACUACGUGCCAGCAGCCGCGGUAACACGUAGGAGGCGAACGUUAUCCGGAUUUACUGGGCGUAAAGCGCGUGUAGGUGGUUUGGUAAGUAGGGCGUGAAAGCUCCUGGCUCAACUGGGAGAGGCCGUUCUAAACUGCCGAACUAGAGGAUGGUAGAGGGAGGUGGAAUUCCGGGUGUAGCGGUGGAAUGCGCAGAUAUCCGGAGGAACACCAGUGGCGAAAGCGGCCUCCUGGACCAUUCCUGACACUCAGACGCGAAAGCUAGGGUAGCAAACGG
rnacentral:rRNA from 1 species